rnacentral:lncRNA from 1 species
GACUUAGUAAGCUAAUGCCCAGUAAGAUGACACUUUGAUGCAUGUAUAAAUUAUGAUGCAUAUGAAUGACCAUUCUUAAAAUAAACUUAGAAAAUACAAAACAACUUUAUUUGGGCCCUAGGUACGUUGCACUACAAGGCUGACACUUUUAUUCUUUAAACAAUAUGCCCUUGGGCCUCAUUAGUUGAUCUCUUGGGUGUUACGUAUCGCCGUCCCUAAAAGAUUUCUUU